ACACACUAGUGACACUCCCACCUACAACUCUUUAUAUCUCUGUGAAUAACAUGACAGUUAUACAUGAGCCUCAGACUGUGAUAACAUGGACGUGAUCAAACACGGACCCUGCAGCUUUUUCAUAUUUCUGCUUUGGAUUAAAGGUUUUAUUGAUGGGAGUGAUGUCAACCAGACCCCCAUACUGUGGAGAAACAAGGGUGACAAUGCAACUAUAGGAUGCAACCACACCAAGGGCAUCGACUACUCCGAGAUGUACUGGUACAGACAGCUGCCUGGAGAAAAUAUUAAACUAAUUGUGUUCACAACAACAUCUAAAAACGACUUUGGAGAUUUCGACAAAAAGAAAUUCUCAGCCAAUAAACCUGAUAUUGAGAGCGGGACAUUCACAGUGGAGAAUCUGGAGCCUGGAGAUCAAGGCUUGUAUUUCUGUGCUGGGGACCUCGAGUACCACAGAUUCUCCCAGUAA